rnacentral:rRNA from 1 species
AGCGGCGGACGGGUGAGUAAUACUUAGGAAUCUACCUAGUAGUGGGGGAUAGCUCGGGGAAACUCGAAUUAAUACCGCAUACGACCUACGGGAGAAAGGGGGCAACUUGUUGCUCUCGCUAUUAGAUGAGCCUAAGUCGGAUUAGCUAGAUGGUGGGGUAAAGGCCUACCAUGGCGACGAUCUGUAGCUGGUCUGAGAGGAUGAUCAGCCACACCGGGACUGAGACACGGCCCGGACUCCUACGGGAGGCAGCAGUGGGGAAUAUUGGACAAUGGGGGCAACCCUGAUCCAGCCAUGCCGCGUGUGUGAAGAAGGCCUUUUGGUUGUAAAGCACUUUAAGCAGUGAAGAAGACUCUAUGGUUAAUACCCAUAGACGAUGACAUUAGCUGCAGAAUAAGCACCGGCUAACUCUGUGCCAGCAGCCGCGGUAAUACAGAGGGUGCAAGCGUUAAUCGGAAUUACUGGGCGUAAAGCGAGCGUAGGUGGCUUGAUAAGUCAGAUGUGAAAUCCCCGGGCUUAACCUGGGAACUGCAUCUGAUACUGUCAGGCUAGAGUAGGUGAGAGGGAGGUAGAAUUUCAGGUGUAGCGGUGAAAUGCGUAGAGAUCUGAAGGAAUACCGAUGGCGAAGGCAGCCUCCUGGCAUCAUACUGACACUGAGGCUCGAAAGCGUGGGUAGCAAACAGGAUUAGAUACCCUGGUAGUCCACGCCGUAAACGAUGUCUACUAGUCGUUGGGUCCCUUGAGGACUUAGUGACGCAGCUAACGCAAUAAGUAGACCGCCUGGGGAGUACGGCCGCAAGGUUAAAACUCAAAUGAAUUGACGGGGGCCCGCACAAGCGGUGGAGCAUGUGGUUUAAUUCGAUGCAACGCGAAGAACCUUACCUGGUCUUGACAUAUCUAGAAUCCUGCAGAGAUGCGGGAGUGCCUUCGGGAAUUAGAAUACAGGUGCUGCAUGGCUGUCGUCAGCUCGUGUCGUGAGAUGUUGGGUUAAGUCCCGCAACGAGCGCAACCCUUUUCCUUAGUUACCAGCGGGUUAUGCCGGGAACUCUAAGGAUACUGCCAGUGACAAACUGGAGGAAGGCGGGGACGACGUCAAGUCAUCAUGGCCCUUACGACCAGGGCUACACACGUGCUACAAUGGUAGGUACAGAGGGCAGCUACACAGCGAUGUGAUGCGAAUCUCAAAAAGCCUAUCGUAGUCCAGAUUGGAGUCUGCAACUCGACUCCAUGAAGUAGGAAU